rnacentral:rRNA from 2 species
GGGGGAUAUUGCACAAUGGAGGAAACUCUGAUGCAGCAACGCCGCGUGAGGGAAGAAGGUCUUCGGAUUGUAAACCUCUGUCGCAGAUGACGAAGGAAGUGACGGUAAUCUGUGAGGAAGCCCCGGCUAACUACGUGCCAGCAGCCGCGGUAAUACGUAGGGGGCGAGCGUUGUCCGGAAUUACUGGGCGUAAAGGGAGCGUAGGCGGUCGAUUAAGUUGGAUGUGAAAUACCCGGGCUUAACUUGGGGGGUGCAUCCAAUACUGGUUGACUAGAGUACAGGAGAGGAAAGCGGAAUUCCUAGUGUAGCGGUGAAAUGCAUAGAUAUUAGGAGGAACAUCGGUGGCGAAGGCGGCUUUCUGGACUGACACUGACGCUGAGGCUCGAAAGCGUGGGGAGCAAACA